UUUGAGAUGUACUGUACGUCGCUUUGGAUAAAAGCGUCUGCUAAAUGAAUAAAU
rfam:Scleropages formosus scaffold13669, whole genome shotgun sequence.